UUUAUAAAGCCGAUUCAAUAGUUCCAGAGGUUACUUGCUACAGACAAACUUACAAACCAUAGCUCUUUAUAAUUUUAGUAUACACACCAAAUAUGGC